rnacentral:rRNA from 1 species
UCGAGAAUUUUUCUCAAUGGGCGAAAGCCUGAAGGAGCGACGCCGCGUGGGGGAUGAAUGGCUUCGGCCCGUAAACCCCUGUCAUUUGCGAACAAAUUAUUUUACCUAACACGUGAAGUAUUGAUUGUAGUAGAAGAGGAAGGGACGGCUAACUCUGUGCCAGCAGCCGCGGUAAUACAGAGGUCCCAAGCGUUGUUCGGAUUCACUGGGCGUAAAGGGUGCGUAGGCGGUCGGGUAAGUCUGAUGUGAAAUCUCCAAGCCUAACUUGGAAACUGCAUCGGAUACUAUCCGGCUAGAGGAAUGGAGGGGAGACUGGAAUACUUGGUGUAGCAGUGAAAUGCGUAGAUAUCAAGUGGAACACCAGUGGCGAAGGCGAGUCUCUAGACAUUUCCUGACGCUGAGGCACGAAAGCCAGGGGAGCAAACGGGAUUAGAUACCCCCGUAGUCC